AAGGCGCAAGACUGUAAUGUUUAAACAAGAUAUCUUGAGAUCGGGCGUUCGACUCGCCCCCUGGAGA
rnacentral:tRNA from 1 species